UACGUAGGGGCCGAGCGUUGUCCGGAGUUAUUGGGCGUAAAGCGCGCGCAGGCGGCCUCGCGCGCCCGACGUGAAAGCCCCCGGCUUAACCGGGGAGGGUCGUUGGGGACGGCGGGGCUUGAGGGCGGGAGAGGUCGGUGGAAUUCCCGGUGUAGUGGUGAAAUGCGUAGAGAUCGGGAGGAACACCUGUGGCGAAAGGCGGCCGACUGGGCCGACCCUGACGCUGAGGCGCGAAGGCGUGGGGAGCGAACGGG
rnacentral:rRNA from 1 species